rnacentral:rRNA from 1 species
GCCAUGCGGAGGCUUAUACUGCAAGUCGAGGGGCAGCAGGGUGUAGCAAUACAUCGCUGGCGACCGGCAAACGGGUGCGGAACACGUACGCAACCUUCCUUUAAGUGGGGGAUAGCCCAGGGAAACUUGGAUUAAUACCUCGUAAUAUUAUGAAGUGGCAUCACUUUAUAAUUAUAGCUCAGGCGCUUAAAGAUGGGCGUGCGACUGAUUAGGUAGUUGGCGGGGUAACGGCCCACCAAGCCUGCGAUCAGUAACUGGUGUGAGAGCACGACCAGUCACACGGGCACUGAGACACGGGCCCGACUCCUACGGGAGGCAGCAGUAAGGAAUAUUGGUCAAUGGACGCAAGUCUGAACCAGCCAUGCCGCGUGGAGGAUGAAGGUCCUCUGGAUUGUAAACUUCUUUUAUCUGGGAAGAAACCCAUAUUUUCUAAUGUGGUUGACGGUACCAGAUGAAUAAGCACCGGCUAACUCCGUGCCAGCAGCCGCGGUAAUACGGAGGGUGCAAGCGUUAUCCGGAUUCACUGGGUUUAAAGGGUGCGUAGGCGGGUUGGUAAGUCCGUGGUGAAAUCCCCAAGCUUAACUUGGGAACUGCCGUGGAUACUAUCAAUCUUGAAUAUCGUGGAGGUAAGCGGAAUAUGUCAUGUAGCGGUGAAA